rnacentral:rRNA from 1 species
AGUCGAGGGGUAUGCUUCUUCGGAAGCAGAGACCGGCGCACGGGUGCGUAACGCGUAUGCAAUCUACCUUUUACAGAGGGAUAGCCCAGAGAAAUUUGGAUUAAUACCUCAUAGCAUAGCAGUCUCGCAUGAGAUCACUAUUAAAGUCACAACGGUAAAAGAUGAGCAUGCGUCCCAUUAGCUAGUUGGUAAGGUAACGGCUUACCAAGGCUACGAUGGGUAGGGGUCCUGAGAGGGAGAUCCCCCACACUGGUACUGAGACACGGACCAGACUCCUACGGGAGGCAGCAGUGAGGAAUAUUGGACAAUGGGCGCAAGCCUGAUCCAGCCAUGCCGCGUGCAGGAUGACGGUCCUAUGGAUUGUAAACUGCUUUUAUACGAGAAGAAACACUGCUUCGUGAAGCAGCUUGACGGUAUCGUAAGAAUAAGGAUCGGCUAACUCCGUGCCAGCAGCCGCGGUAAUACGGAGGAUCCAAGCGUUAUCCGGAAUCAUUGGGUUUAAAGGGUCCGUAGGCGGUUUAAUAAGUCAGUGGUGAAAGCCCAUCGCUCAACGGUGGAACGGCCAUUGAUACUGUUAAACUUGAAUUAUUAGGAAGUAACUAGAAUAUGUAGUGUAGCGGUGAAAUGCUUAGAGAUUACAUGGAAUACCAAUUGCGAAGGCAGGUUACUACUAAUGGAUUGACGCUGAUGGACGAAAGCGUGGGUAGCGAACAGGAUUAGAUACCCUGGUAGUCCACGCCGUAAACGAUGGAUACUAGCUGUUGGAAGCAAUUUCAGUGGCUAAGCGAAAGUGAUAAGUAUCCCACCUGGGGAGUACGUUCGC